UGCAGUUCAGGCAUGGGGUCUUUUGUGGCAGGCAGAGGGCGGUGGAGGGGGCUUGUUAACCAGCUUCUUUAGAGGAGAAGAACUGAUUGUUCUUGGAACUCUGCGCCAACUGGGAAGACCAGGUGAGCCAGGAACAUGCAACACUGUGAAGCUGGAAUCAUUCAUCUGAAGCGAAGCACCUGGUCUCCCCAUCACUGAGCCUAGCCUGAGAGCAGAGCUCCUUCUGUCUGGUUUGCUUAUGUGUGUGAUGUGAAUUAGUUUGCAGAAUUACUCCCUAAUGGCAGCGAAGUUGCGAGGAUCUGACCACCCUCAAGAAGGUCAGAAGAAGAUCAAGAGGGACAUCCUUAAGUACACCAAGAAGGCAUGGGCUCCUCUGGAUGGACAGCUGUAUCCUGACCCCAAGAAGGAAAGUCAGACUGCCUCUGACACCCUGCUGGAAGAUUCCAAGCAAGAAAGUAUACAGCAGUGGCUGAACUCCGGAG
rnacentral:lncRNA from 1 species